UUGUUGGUAAGGUAAAAGCUUACCAAGGCUUCGAUCAGUAGCUGGUCUGAGAGGACGACCAGCCACACUGGGACUGAGACGCGGCCCAGACUCCUACGGGAGGCAGCAGUGGGGAAUUUUGGACAAUGGGGGCAACCCUGAUCCAGCCAUGCCGCGUGAGUGAAGAAGGCCUUCGGGUUGUAAAGCUCUUUCAGCCGGAACGAAACGGUUACGGUUAACACCCGUGACUACUGACGGUACCGGAAGAAGAAGCACCGGCUAACUACGUGCCAGCAGCCGCGGUAAUACGUAGGGUGCGAGCGUUAAUCGGAAUUACUGGGCGUAAAGCGUGCGCAGGUGGUUUUGUAAGUCAGAUGUGAAAGCCCCGGGCUCAACCUGGGAACUGCGUUUGAAACUACAAGACUAGAGUGUGGCAGAGGGGGGUGGAAUUCCGCGUGUAGCAGUGAAAUGCGUAGAGAUGUGGAGGAACACCGAUGGCGAAGGCAGCCCCCUGGGUCAACACUGACGCUCAGGCACGAAAGCAUGGGGAGCAAACAGGAUUAGAUACCCUGGUAGUCCAUGCCCUAAACGAUGUCAACUAGUUGUCGGGCCUUUACGGGCUUGGUAACGUAGCUAACGCGUGAAGUUGACCGCCUGGGGAGUACGAUCGCAAGAUUAAAACUCAAAUGAAUUGACGGGGACCCGCACAAGCGGUGGAUUAUGUGGAUUAAUUCGAUGCAACGCGAAAAACCUUACCUACCCUUGACAUGUAUCGAAGCCCGCAGAAAAGCGGGGGUGCCCGAAAGGGAACGAUAACACAGGUGCUGCAUGGCUGUCGUCAGCUCGUGUCGUGAGAUGUUGGGUUAAGUCCCGCAACGAGCGCAACCCUUGUCAUUAAUUGCCAUCAUUUAGUUGGGCACUUUAAUGAGACUGCCGG
rnacentral:rRNA from 1 species